rnacentral:rRNA from 1 species
UACGGGGGAGCAAGCGUUGUUCGGAUUUAUUGGGUUUAAAGGGUGCGUAGGCGGCCCUGUAAGUCAGUGGUGAAAUACUGCAGCUUAACUGUAGCAUUGCCAUUGAUACUGUAGGGCUUGAGUACAGAUGAGGUAGGCGGAAUUGAUGGUGUAGCGGUGAAAUGCAUAGAUACCAUCAAGAACACCGAUUGCGAAGGCAGCUUACUAAGCUGUAACUGACGCUGAGGCACGAAAGCGUGGGGAUCGAAACAGG